UCAUAUCAUGUUGAAACACCAGUUCUCAGGCAAUCGCCAAAGUUAAGCAAUGUCAGGCUUGGUCAGUACUGAGAUGGGUGACUGUUUGGAAAUACCAGGUGCAGUAAG